rnacentral:rRNA from 1 species
UACGUAGGGGGCAAGCGUUGUCCGGAAUUAUUGGGCGUAAAGAGCGUGUAGGCGGUCCGGUAAGCCAGCUGUGAAAGUCAAGGGCUCAACCCUUGAAUGCCGGUUGAUACUGUCGGGCUAGAGUCCGGAAGAGGCGAGUGGAAUUCCCGGUGUAGCGGUGAAAUGCGUAGAUAUCUGGAGGAACACCGGUGGCGAAGGCGGCGUCCUGGACCAACACUGACACUGAGGAGCGAAAGCCAGGGGAGCAAACGGG